rnacentral:rRNA from 1 species
AUUGAACGCUGGCGGCAGGCUUAACACAUGCAAGUCGAACGAGUGGCGGACGGGUGAGUAACGCUUGGGAAUCUGGCUUAUGGAGGGGGAAAACCACGGGAAACUGUAGCUAAUACCGCGUUCCAUAGGAUUAGCCCAUGAGGGAGUAGGUAGUUGGUGAGGUAAAGGCACACCAAGCCGACGAUCUCUAGCUGGUCUGAGAGGAUGACCAGCCACACUGGGACUGAGACACGGCCCAGACUCCUACGGGAGGCAGCAGUGGGGAAUAUUGCGCAAUGGGGGCAACCUGACGCAGCCAUGCCGCGUGAGUGAUGACGGCCUUCGGGUUGUAAAGCUCUGUUAAUCGGGAGACGGUACCGGAAUAGAAAGCCACGGCUAACUACGUGCCAGCAGCCGCGGUAAUUC